rnacentral:rRNA from 1 species
GANGNNNAGGAUAGGCAUGCAGUUGAACGAGAAGCUAGCUUCGGCUAGUGGAAAGUAGCGAAAGGGUGAGUAACGCGUGAAUGAUCUACCUCUAAGUUUGGAAUAACUGUUGGAAACGACAGCUAAUACCGGAUGUGGAUAUAAAGCUGCAUGGUUUUAUAUCUAAAGAUUUAUCGCUUAGAGAUGAGUUCGCGUGCCAUUAUGCUAGUUGGUAAGGUAACGGCUUACCAAGGCUAUGACGGCUAGGUGGUCUGAGAGGACGAUCACCCACACUGGGACUGAGACACUGCCCAGACUCCUGCGGGAGGCUGCAGUCGAGAAUCUUCCGCAAUGCGCGAAAGCGUGACNGAGCAAUGCCGCGUGAUCGAAGAAGGCCUUCGGGUUGUAAAGAUCUGUCAGGGGGGAAAAACAAUGAUGGUACCCCCAGAGGAAGCCACGGCUAACUACGUGCCAGCAGCCGCGGUAAUACGGAGGGUGCAAGCGUUAAUCGGAAUUACUGGGCGUAAAGCGCGCGUAGGCGGUUUGGUCAGUUGGAUGUGAAAGCCCAGGGCUUAACCUUGGAACUGCAUUCAAUACUGCCAGGCUAGAGUACGGUAGAGGGGGGUAGAAUUCCACGUGUAGCGGUGAAAUGCGUAGAGAUGUGGAGGAAUACCAGUGGCNAAGNCGGCCCCCUGGAUCGAUACUGACGCUGANGUGCGAAAGCNUGGGGAGCAAACAGGAUUAGAUACCCUGGNUAGNCCCCCGCCGUAAACGAUGUCAAACUACCCGUUGGAGAUNUUGUAUCUUUNGUGGCGUAGCUAACGCCCUAAGUUGACCGCCUGGAGAGUNCCGGUCNCAAGAUUAAAANUUC